GCCUGGGUGGCUCAGUAGGUUAAGCAUCUGACUUGGGCUCAGGUCAUGAUCUUGUGGUUCGUGAGUGAGUUCGAGCCCCACGUCGGGCU
rnacentral:tRNA from 1 species